UGCUAUAUGGAUUGGUUGUCCUCUUAACCAAAGAAUGUGGUGAUACUGGUAUGGCAUACAAGUGAGAUGUAGGAGUACAUCAUCACUGAAUAAGUAACUUACCUGUUGAGCUUUCUACUAUCAAGAGCUGCUCGCGAAGCAUAUAGGUAUAAGUAUCUCUCAGACCUAAGAUCACCAUAGUGACUUGUAAGCAACUCACUAUACUUUGGUGUCAGACUAUCUGGAUUUCUAAUGCAGCGAUAAAAGGCUACUGAAUACAGUCAAGUACUUACGAAGUCUGUGUGUGGUCAAGAUGGGAUUGACCCCUUCAGAUUAUUAGAGUUGAUGUAUUGCUAUAUUUUAAUUUAGUAAAAUCUUGAUCAGGAUAAUCCAUGAGAUGGAUUUCAAAGGUUGAAAUAUAAUGUGAAUGAAGCAAUCUCGGUUGACAGUUAACCUAAGACCAUCCUAGAGCAUUCAGGAUCAAAAAGAUGAAUUAUGCGGUAAU
rnacentral:lncRNA from 1 species